rnacentral:rRNA from 1 species
GACAGAGGGUGCAAACGUUGUUCGGAAUUACUGGGCGUAAAGCGCGUGUAGGCUGCUUGGAAAGUCGGGUGUGAAAGCCCUGAGCUCAACUCAGGAAGUGCACUCGAAACUUCCCGAGCUCGAGUCCUGGAGAGGGUGGCGGAAUUCUCGGUGUAGAGGUGAAAUUCGUAGAUAUCGAGAGGAACACCGGUGGCGAAGGCGGCUACCUGGACAGUGACUGACGCUGAGACGCGAAAGCGUGGGGAGCAAACAGG